CAGAAUUUAAAUCUUGAAAUACUAGGCCACUGAACUGUUAGCCUGAUAAGUAUAGGAUUGCUAAGCCCAGCAUAAGCCUAAAACCAUGCAGGGAGAAGAAACUAGAAAAACAAAAACUUAAAUGGGUUAUGACCCAUUUGCAGUAUAUAUUGAUAAAAAUUAAUAUUAUAUACAUACAAUUUUAAUCAUUCAAACAUCUUCAUUUGAUUCAUCGAUUAUAGAUGAUAGGCUCGUCCCAUUUUCAUUUCACAAAAAUUUCCUGAAUUCUUCCUUUGCAAAGAUAACCAUCUAAAGAUAUUAUUGAUCUUCUUUAGAAUUAAUCAGCUAUAAAUCUUCUAUUCAGUGAUAAUUUCUGACAAGCCUCCACCAAAACCAGUUGAAAAUCGUCCAUCCUUACUGCAACAUUCCUUCAUAUAGCUCUUGCAACAACCCCCAUUUUCUCUCUUCUCCAGGCUCAUACAAGCAUGAAUGGUUGUUGCUUCACUGCAGUUCAUGCUUGUAUGAGCCUGGAGAAGAGAGAAAAUGGGGGUUGUUGCAAGAGCUAUAUGAAGGAAUGUUGCAGUAAGGAUGGACGAUUUUCAACUGGUUUUGGUGGAGGCUUGUCAGAAAUUAUCACUGAAUAGAAGAUUUAUAGCUGAUUAAUUCUAAAGAAGAUCAAUAAUAUCUUUAGAUGGUUAUCUUUGCAAAGGAAGAAUUCAGGAAAUUUUUGUGAAAUGAAAAUGGGACGAGCCUAUCAUCUAUAAUCGAUGAAUCAAAUGAAGAUGUUUGAAUGAUUAAAAUUGUAUGUAUAUAAUAUUAAUUUUUAUCAAUAUAUACUGCAAAUGGGUCAUAACCCAUUUAAGUUUUUGUUUUUCUAGUUUCUUCUCCCUGCAUGGUUUUAGGCUUAUGCUGGGCUUAGCAAUCCUAUACUUAUCAGGCUAACAGUUCAGUGGCCUAGUAUUUCAAGAUUUAAAUUCUG
rnacentral:misc_RNA from 1 species